rnacentral:miRNA from 1 species
CUUCCGGUCGACGAGGUACAAGUACCUCGCCGGCUGGAAGGACACCCUUCCAGUCGACGAGGUACAAGUACCUCGCCGGCUGGAAG